CCAAUAGCGUAUAUUAAAGUUGUUGCAGUUAAAAAGCUCGUAGUUGAAUUUCGGGAUCAAAGGAUCGGUCAUGCCUUGGUAUGUACUGGUUUUAUUGGUUCUCACCUUCUAAAGAACCAUGAUGUCAUUCAUUUGAUGUUAUGGGGAAUUAGGACUGUUACCUUGAAAAAAUUAGAGUGUUUAAAGCAAGCUUACGCUUG
rnacentral:rRNA from 1 species